rnacentral:tmRNA from 1 species
GGGGGCGAUUUGGAUUCGACGUGGGUCGCGAAACUCCAGGUGCAUGCCGAGGUGCGGAAUACCUCGUUAAACUAUCUGCAAAAACUUAUAGUUGCCAACGACGACAACUACGCACUAGCU